rnacentral:SRP_RNA from 2 species
GCUGGGCGCAGUGGCUUACGCCUGUAAUCCCAGCACUUUGGGAGGCCGAGGUGGGUGGAUCACCUGAGGUCAGGAGUUCGAGACCAGCCUGACCAACAUGGAGAAACCCCAUCUCUA